rnacentral:rRNA from 1 species
UGGGGAAUAUUGGACAAUGGGGGGAACCCUGAUCCAGCCAUGCCGCGUGUGUGAAGAAGGCCUUAUGGUUGUAAAGCACUUUAAGCGAGGAGGAGGGUACUGGUAUUAAUACUACCAGGUACUGGACGUUACUCGCAGAAUAAGCACCGGCUAACUCUGUGCCAGCAGCCGCGGUAAUACAGAGGGUGCGAGCGUUAAUCGGAUUUACUGGGCGUAAAGCGUGCGUAGGCCGCUAAUUGAGUCGGAUGUGAAAUCCCCGAGCUUAACAUGGGAAUUGCAUUCGAUACUGGUUAGCUAGAGUGUGGGAGAGGAUGGUAGAAUUCCAGGUGUAGCGGUGAAAUGCGUAGGGAUCUGGAGGAAUACCGAUGGCGAAGGCAGCCAUCUGGCCUAACACUGACGCUGAGGUACGAAAGCAUGGGGAGCAAACAGG